AAACGUAGCUGUGAUUCACGAUAUAACCGGAUAAGGACUAAAAACAGAAAAACAUACAGAGACUUGUACUCAGAAACAAAAGGCGGUGGUUUUGUGCGAGCAAAAGCAUAGCAAAAUUAGGGUUUUGAUUUGUUAUCUCCUUUCCAUCUGAUUUCAAGCUUCAAUCGGGUGAGGGUGUUGUGUAUAUAUAUGUAUAUCUCUGUGUAUAAUUUUUGUGUAUUUGCCGGGGUUGGGAGAUUUUGUCUUGAAUCAAUGGUGGAGCGGGGUUGUGAAUGAUGGUUGGGCGUUCACCGAGGCUGCGUCGUCAGCACAGAGAGGGUAGGACGCGGUGGCGUCGCGUAAAAGGUGGAAGUUUGGCGGUGGUUGAGAGUUUUGUGGUGAGUCUGUUGAAUCAAAGUGGCAGCUAUGCCUGUGAGAUAAACAGAGUAUGUGGGGUUGCUUGUAUGUGGAGGUGUAGUGGUUGAUUGGGGGUUUGAAAACAAGGAUAAAGGGGCCGUUGAUGGUGUUGAUUAGACAGUGGAGAUGGAGGCGAUUGGUUUUGGGUGGCUGUGAUAAUUCCAAUACAGGGGAGGUGGAGUUUGGCUACUGGUGGUUGGAGAGGCGGCGGGAUGCCGCCAGUAGAUAAGAUGAUGGUUGGAAGGUGUAGUCGGAGGCGGCGAGGUUGUUUUCAGACGGUGGCUGUUGUCGCGGAUAUUUGUGCAUAUGGGUCUGUUCAGAUGAGGAGAGGGAGAGGUUUCAGUUGUGUGUGUGUUCAUCUUGUGUGACUGUGUAUAAUUGGGGCGACAUUAGGGAGAUGAUCACAGCUAUGGCAGUGCUGAAGGAGGGUGGCCCAUGGAGGUGCCGGGGUGACGAGGUUUUAAUUGGAGACAGACUUGGAAGAUGGAGUGUUGCAGGAGGUUAUAGGCUGAUGAAGAUUACAAAUGGUACAGAGGAGUAUGGCGAGAGUUGGUUUGUAAACAGAGGUUGCAACAUUAACAAUCAAAGUCUAUCGAGACGCGUGCAUUCAACGACUUUCAGAAGCAAGCGAAUUGUUGCAAGCCAAGUCGGAAAUAGUUUGAUAAGGCGAUAUUGUGCCGUGAGAUAGGCCAAUAGAGUGUAGUGAUUGCAAAGUUAGCAAUUGAGGCCAUCCUAGGAUUUGAGUAGUGUGACUGUGUGUCACCUGUUUUGUGUCAAAGCUAGGGAUUAAGAUGAUCACUUGUGUAAGCUGCGCGUAAGAUUGAUGCUAGGCGAGAUUGCCAGGGAGAUGUUUACAAGAGUAGUUCUGGUUAGAAUUGUUUCAUUUCAGUUUAGUUGUAAAUAUAUUUAUUUAUUUGGUUAUCAGUUACUCUUCUUAUCGAGUUUAACUGAUAAUGUAGUUUAAGUUGUAAUAAGAUUGUAAGUUUUGGUUCUGAUUUCAAUGCUCUAACCUAUUAGCGAUCCUGUUUUUAGGGGGUCAAAGUGAUUUUGAUUUAAAAAUCUUUUAAAGUGUUCAGAUUUUCAAAUAUCUAUUUUACUUUUUUCCACAAAUACAGGUUUUUAAAUGAUUUUUGUUUUAGUGGCACCAAAUCCAGACCCCCGGAUUUGAGGGCUGUCACACUGGACGUGCCACAAAAGAUUAUUUGUGCACUGAGGCUUGAACAUAUUAAUGAACUUCUUUCAGUGGUGUGCAGCAGCAUCCUGGAAUUUAUCUGACAUAUAAUUCCCAUAAAUCAUUUGACGUUCUUCGUACGGAUUCCGAUGACUUGCUAUUUACUGAGCUUUCUUAUCUGAGUUGAGUUGUACCUCUUUAAAUACAAAUAGGCUGAACAUAUGCCUUUCAGACAGGGCAUGAAAAACUAUAUAACAGUCUUUCAAUUAAAACAUGAUAUAGCUUAUCUUAAUUGAUAUUAAUUUAGGUUUUUAUUGGAAUAUGCUUUGUAUUUACAAUUAGAAUGUGAUAUAGAUUAGCAGAAUCAAAUGCAUCAUCAUCAUCAACAUCUUCAGGAAUGUUGUCAUAAUCCUGAUUAGUGAAGAUGUUCUCAGAUUCAGGCAUUUUGCCUUUAGACUUGUCAGCUGCAGAAGAAUCCUUUUCACUUGCUCCAUCUCCACCCUUAUCACUCCUAUCAGCCUUAUCACUCCUAUCAGUAUCUCCAUCCUUAUUACUCCUAUCAGCAGCAUCAGCAUUGCUGUGAUCAUCUUUGUCAUCCUUAUCAUCCUUAUCCUUCUCCCCCUUAGUUGAGGGAUCCUCU